GAAAAAAAGGCUUUUUGAAUUUUUGGGGCCAGUCUGGGAAAUAUAUAAGUUUUGGAUUUUAAUGUGGCUCAAAAUUCUAUACUCUUUGGAAAAAGAAUGUAUCCAAAAAGUUUUGUUUUUUGCCACCCAAGAUGUUUUGUUCUUCACUUAAAGUCUGGCUUAUUCUAUCACUAUUAUCAAAACUGAGAAUGUAGCCAAAAAAAUUGUUUAAAAAAAGUUUUCUGCCCUUUUGGUAAAAAUUUCAGCCAUAGAAAGAAAAAAAAUUUAGAGAGUUUUUUCCCUGAAUUAGGUGCUUUGACAAUUGACUUCUAAGGGGAUAUUAAUAUUGAUUCUUUUCCCCAGAAAAGCAGAUGUGAUUUAAUAGAGAAAAUUAUUGAUAUUUCUUAUCCCAUAAGAAAUUUUUUAUCUGUGUAAUACUUCACACAGGUAAAGUGAAGUGGAAAAUGAGCUAUUAUGUGGUAAAAUCAAAAGAUGAUGGGAAGAAAAAGUAUCUAGACCAAUAAAGUGCUCUCUAAAACUGUAUUUUUCUGAUUUAUCCAAAUAAUUGCCUCAAUUCUUCUCUUUAUUGUAUACAUAGCCUUAACUGUAUGCUUAUAUACUCAGCUGGGCUGAUUGCACAGUAACUUUAUUAAAGGAGCAACUGGACUUUUAUUAUUUCCAAAGCAGAACAUGGCCUGUUCUCCCUGACAUAAAGCAAAUGGGUCACUGGUUAUGGACUUACAAACUAAAACAUAACUACUGGAUAAAACUGACCAGUAACAUUUAGAGGUAAAUGUGAAAGGGUUGGAAUUUAAAGUCCUAAAAUAAUCAGUAAUUUCCAAAAACAUGCCAAAAUUUACACUUACAAAUCAACCCACAGGAUCCUAUUAAGCUUCCCUGCUCUGAAGUCUGCUCUCUCUGAAAUUAAUAGAACUACUCAAACUUUCUUUUGAUAAAUGUUAGCAUGGUAUAUCAUAUCUUUCUCCAUCCCUUUCAUCUGCAUGUGUCUUUGUAUUUAACCUGAGUUUCUUAAAGACAACAUAGAGUUGGGCCUUAUUUUUUAUCUACUGACAAUAUGGUUCUUAUUGGUAUAUUUAGACCACUA
rnacentral:lncRNA from 1 species